UGGUAAUGCCGGAUGCUCCGACUCCUCGCAUGGGGUGUCGGGAAAGAUUUCAUCGGUAUGGGAUGGGGUCGCGUCCUAUCAGGUAGUCGGCGGGGUAACGGCCCACCGAGCCUACGACGGGUAGCCGGCCUGAGAGGGCGACCGGCCACAUUGGGACUGAGAUACGGCCCAGACUCCUACGGGAGGCAGCAGUGGGGAAUAUUGCACAAUGGGCGCAAGCCUGAUGCAGCGACGCCGCGUGCGGGAUGACGGCCUUCGGGUUGUAAACCGCUUUUGAUCGGGAGCAAGCCUUCGGGUGAGUGUACCUUUCGAAUAAGCACCGGCUAACUACGUGCCAGCAGCCGCGGUAAUACGUAGGGUGCAAGCGUUAUCCGGAAUUAUUGGGCGUAAAGGGCUCGUAGGCGGUUCGUCGCGUCCGGUGUGAAAGUCCAUCGCUUAACGGUGGAUCUGCGCCGGGUACGGGCGGGCUGGAGUGCGGUAGGGGAGACUGGAAUUCCCGGUGUAACGGUGGAAUGUGUAGAUAUCGGGAAGAACACC
rnacentral:rRNA from 1 species